ACAACGGGCUAAUAAUCUCUCCCAACCAUUCUCUCAACAAGGGGCUAGGCGGCAAACACAAGGGCUAGCGGCAAAAGAUGGAAGGGGGCGGUGGUCGUUUUAAGUUACCCAUUUGGCCCGCGACGUGUUCGACACAGACUCUGCGGCGGUCCGCUCACCAUUCGGGCUCGCCUCCUAACGUGUUCGAGGGAGUUUUCCGUUGACAUUGGAGGAUGGGCUUGAAGGGAUCUACCGGAUCCGUCAAGGAGACGAGCUCUGUAGAGGCGUGUAACCACGCCAAUCGGGCGGAGGAAAGGGAAACCAAGGCGGCGGCCACGACAUACGCCAAUUGAGAACAAGACGGUAAAAAAUUUCGAAACUUUUUUUUAUUGAAGUAAAGAUAUGAACAUGAACAUGAACAUAAUUUAACAGAUCAAAAUACCCCAAAUUUAUUU